GCGGGUUUAGCUCAGUUGGGAGAGCGUCAGACUGAAGUCAAACUUCAAUCAUCCGAUAUCUGAAGGUCAUGUGUUCGAUCCACAUAAACCGCA
rfam:Nectria haematococca mpVI 77-13-4 chromosome 6 genomic scaffold NECHAsca_37_chr6_2_0, whole genome shotgun sequence.